GCAUUGGUGGCCAAAUGGUAGAGCUCCCGCCUGCCACGCCGGUGGCCCGGGUUCAUAUCCCAGCCACUGGG
rnacentral:tRNA from 1 species